UUUGCUCCCCGUUUCCCCGUUCCUCUCCUUCUCUUGACUCACUCCAGUGGUUAGGAAGGGGGCCUCUUAUUUUGUUUGCUACUGCGAAGCGUUUGGUCCCCUGCUCUGGUACUGCUGAUGCUUCUAUUCUUUGUUCUUGCUGUGUGGUUUGCAUUAAAACUUGACAAGCCUCCUCUGUUGUCAUCUGUUGCGUAGCGUUGUUCUUUCUGGCUCUAUAGUAAUUUAUCCUUUGCUUCUGCUUCUGGGUUUCUAGUAGGUUGUUUAAGUUUUACGCUCGGUAACUUACUGUUUGGCUUUCGGUUUCCCCCCCGGGCUUCGAGAAAAUCUUAUAAGGGUCUUGCUUCUCAGUUGUUUACAUUGCUGCCUUUUUUUUCUGCGGAGGUGUUUUUCUUCCUACUCUCUCAGCAUUCUUGCGAG
rnacentral:lncRNA from 1 species